rnacentral:rRNA from 1 species
GACGAACGCUGGCGGCGUGCUUAACACAUGCAAGUCGAACGAGUGGCGAACGGGUGAGUAAUAUGUGGUUAACCUGCCCCCUUUUUGGGAUAAGCCAUGGAAACGGGGUCCAAAACUUAAUAAGGCGGGGGGGCUAGGGGCCUAUCAGCUGGUUGGUGGGGUGAUGGCCCACCAAGGGGGUGACGGGUAGCCGGCCUGAGAGGGGGACCGGCAACAUUGGCGCUGAGAUACGGCCCAGGCUCCUGCGGGAGGCAGUAGUGGGGGAUAUUGCACAAAGGGCUAAAGCCUGGUGCAGCGACGCCGGGAGGAGGGUGGAGGCUGUCGGGUUGUAAACCUCUUUCGCUAUCGAACGGGUAGGUGGAGAAGAAGCGCCGGCUAACUACGUGCCAGCAGCCGCGGUAAUAC